rnacentral:rRNA from 1 species
UACGUAGGGAGCAAGCGUUGUCCGGAAUCAUUGGGCGUAAAGCGCGCGUAGGUGGCUCUAUAAGUCCGUUGUGAAAGUCAAAGGCUACAACCUUUGAAAAUACCGGAUGGAUACUGUAGAGCUAGAGUCCGGAAGAGGCGAGUGGAAUUCCUGGUGUAGCGGUGGAAUGCGCAGAUAUCAGGAGGAACACCAAUAGCGAAGGCAGCUCGCUGGGACGUUACUGACACUGAGGCGCGAAAGCGUGGGGAGCGAACAGG